ensembl:lncRNA
CUCAAAGAUACUGAACUGGAUUAAGUGGCUGACUUCCUGGGACAUGACAUACGUGUCCACCGUGAUCACUACAGACUCCCUGAGGCAACAGUUCAGCUUGCAAAUAUCUACUAAUUACUUUUGGCGAUGGACAAAGGCUGUCUUGGAAGCAUCCAGGGAAAGUGUCUUGAUGACAUUCAAAUCAAAGAUCAGAUCCAGUUAACUGAUACUGAGGCUGACACGGAUGACGAAUCUGCUUGUGCCAGUUCAUUAAGCAAACCAAAAGAGAUUUCAGCAUCAACAUCAGAAGCCUGCCUGAAUGGAGUGAACACCAGAAAGAGCUCCAGAGGCAGGGGCUUACCCCUCUUCAGGAUGCUGAAAGACACAUUCAUCUAGGACGAGAUAAACACACAGUUUCUUCAAAAUAUAUUGAUGGAAUUAAAGGACAUGGUGUUUUUGCAGAAGAUUUCAUUGGGAAGGGAUCCUUCAUUAUCGAGUACCACGGAGCUCUGUGUGAAGAAAACAAGUUUAAUAAAAUCUCAAAUCCAUACAUAUAUUAUUUUAAAGAUAAUGGAAAAGAUUAUUGGUAAGUACAAUAUACCUGAUGUGCAUGUAGAUAUGACAGCCAAAAUCAAAUUUCAUUAAUUUAAUUAAUGAACUAUGUGGGUUAUUGUUGUCAAUAGUACUGCUUCUUUGGUACAUAUUCCAUGCUAAGAGCUCUCAGAUGGUCCCAUG